UAGGGCAAGCCGCUAGCGCCCGGCAGCCCUGAAGUAGAGGCCACGCGGGGACAGCCUGAACCCCACAAAAAUAGGUCCUAGUACAAAGCUAGGGAUCGGGUUUCAAGCCGAUCUGCUAUUUUCCUUACUCAUUAGUUUAAGGCAU
rnacentral:snRNA from 1 species